rnacentral:lncRNA from 1 species
CAAGGCCUCAUGCAUGAGCCGGAGUACAACGGCUUCGUAUCCGCCAUCUCCACCCGCACCAUCACCGACCAACCGAUCGGUCUAGGAGAACUUUUCUCCUUACUGCUCGCUGCCGAGGCCAGGAUCUCUACCCAAACAGCAGCCUACACCGCCAAUCUUGCUGCAAAGGGUGGAGGUCAUGGAAACUACGGCGGCGGACGCGGAGGCAGCAACGGCGGUG